GAUACUCAGGGCACACAGCAUAUAGAGUAUUCUUGUUCCGCAAAAAACAGUACCUCUGCUGCUGCUGUACACUCUGCUGCUUCAGAGUCGCUGUUUAACACUGUGGGUUCACCCUUGAAUUCUUCCUGGAUGAAGCCAAGAACCCUCCUGGGCUAAGCCUCAAUUUUGGGGCUUGCCUGUCCUGCGUCAGCAUGAGUACGGACUUUGGGGUUACAAAUAGGUGCAUUUGCAAAUAUGGAAUCCACGAAUGAUGAAGAUAGACUAUCACUGGGUACCACCGGAAUUCUCUGACCUGAUAACUUCAUAUGCAAAUCCUGGCUGGUCCUUGGAACAGGAGAAAGGGUUGGAAAACAAAGAUCACUUUUCUCUGGCCAAAUGGAAUCACCCAACAAAGUACCUUCCUGAUGGGCCAGCUAUUUCAGAUGAUGAAGGUUUAAGAAGCAGCAUCAUCAGCGAACUGUGUUUUGAAGAUUUGAGGGAAGGGCUGACCUCAGGAUUUUAUACUAGGUAUUUGAUGCAAUGCAGACUGGAAUCCUCCCCACAAGGAUGCCCUGGCCUGAGUGGCACAGAGAUCAAUGCAGCAGUCAUUUCCUGGGCGGGGAAAGCCCAUCCACAGUGGCCCUGGAAUGAUGCUGGUCUUACCUUCUAUUCCUAGGAAGGCCCUAUCUCAAGUGGCUCUGGUCCAUGCAAACAGAUGGAAACGGGUGUGGGGAAGCACAGGCCUCCUACUCAUGUUAAGAGAGCUGCUCAGAGGCAGGAAUCCAGAACCAGGAAUGUCCCCAGUGGCUGCCCAAGGUACAAGUGGCAGGCAGCGGGGAGAAUGGCAUGUGAAGUCAUUUGUAACCUGGCCCCAGCUUGGUUUCCAAGUCUCAGAGGAGAUUAUGGAUAUGGUAGUGCCUGGCUCAGUGCUUAAAAUCCAUUCUCCUGCUAUUUCCCUCACCUACACUCAGCCCCACAAGCCGAGAUGUUUGCUGGACAUUUCAGGCACUGCCACCCAGUUCUGUCUACCUUACCUGCUAACACCUGUUGACCAUCCUUCAUGUGAAGGCUUCCCCAAAUACUUCCCAAUCAAAACACUAAAAGGCAGACCUGAAAUUAAUAAAAAUGUUAAUUAAAUCUGUACAACAGAAAGCAUAAUGCCAGUCUUUUUAAUUAUGAAAUGUAGCAUUCAUAUAAAUUUCAUUGCUUUUGAAAACAAUCUAUGGCUAGAUUCUCCUGGGUUUGUAUGAUGAUUACUGAAAACUGUAGAAAAUCUAAAAUCAAGCAAGUUGUUUAUAGGCAAUUACUUUCAGAAGCAAAAAUUAUAAAAGAACCAUGAGAUUUUUAAAGAGAAAAAAUUACAUUUGAUAUGAGAUAAUCAUGCAUUUUAAGAUGUUUAAAAUGACAUGGAGUGGGGUCCCCAGACCAGGAGAGCUGAGGGCUUAUGAAGG
rnacentral:lncRNA from 1 species